AUUUUGUUCCGAGCAAUUUCGGGCGAGAUCUCGUGGCGGCACCAACUCUCCCGGUCAUCAUUUACGGACCUUUAUUUGCCUGGGAUCGGGGCCCGUGAGAAGCAGCUACAAUACCAUCGCCAUUUCGAAUUCUCCGGUAGCCGAAACUGACGCAGGUUUAGACUUUACAGCCUACCACUUCAGAGACGAACCCGAGAUCGAGUCUCCCGCAGAGAGCAGAGCGGAGAGAGACGAGAGAGAGAGAGAGAGAGAGAGAGCGAGCUCAAUCAAGAGUCAAGCCCUAACAUCGAUGGGCUCCGGCGCCGCCGCGGCCGAGGUGAUCGAGCUCUCCAGCGAGGACGAGGAGCCCGUCCCCGUCCCCAGAGCCGGCGCCGGCGCCGGCGCGCUCGCCCUCGCCCGCCGCGCCCCGUCCUCCCCGCCCGACGUCAAGCCGCGCCUGCUCGCCGGUGCCGAUGUGAAGCCGCUGCCGCUCCUCCCGCCGCUCCUCCCGCCGCUCCACCACCCCCCGGGCUACGGCGCGCUCGUGCCCGUCAAGGCCGAGGAGCCCGCGCCCGUGCCGGUGCCCGUGGCCACCGCCUCCCCGCCGCCCAGGGCGCUCCCGCCGCCGCGCCUCGGCCGCCAGUUCUGGAAGUCCGGCGACUACGUCGUCGCGCGCCGCAACCCCGACGCCGACGCCCCAGGUGGGCGGAACCGGCUGCGGAUAAAUCCCAAGUUCCUGCACUCAAAUGCCACUUCCCACAAGUGGGCUUUCGGCGCUGUUGCUGAGCUUCUUGAUAAUGCCAUCGAUGAGAUGAACAAUGGGGCAACAUUUGUACGUGUUAAUAAAUUUACAAACCCACGGGAUGGGAACCCAUCAUUGUUGGUUCAAGAUAAUGGAGGGGGAAUGGAUCCAGAGGCGCUGAGACGUUGCAUGAGCUUUGGAUUUUCGGAUAAGCAGUCUGAUGCUUUCAUUGGGCAAUAUGGAAAUGGUUUCAAGACAAGCACAAUGCGGCUAGGAGCGGAUGUGAUUGUUUUUACACAAAACCAAAAUAACCAGUCACGGACAAGAAGUAUCGGCCUUCUUUCUUAUACAUUUUUGAUGGAAACAGGUUGCGAUGAUGUAUUGGUGCCAACGGUGGACUAUCAGUACGAUCCAGUAACUGCUUCAUUUACUCAGAUGUUGCGGCAUGAUCAGAGGCUCUUCUCAUCUAAUUUGUCAAUCCUCCUGAAAUGGUCCCCGUUUGCCAGUGAAGCUGAGUUGCUUAAACAAUUUGAUGAUAUGGGAGAGCAUGGAACAAAGAUAAUUGUAUUCAACCUCUGGUUCAACGAUGAUGGGGAUAUGGAGCUUGAUUUCAACUCCGAUAAGAAGGAUAUCCUCAUAACUGGGGCACACAAGAAGAAGGUAACACAUAAUUUGGAGAAGGUCACAACACAGAACUACGUUUCAACUCGACUUCGUUAUUCUCUUAGAGCAUAUGCAUCUAUCUUGUAUCUUCGAGUAUCUGAUAAUUUCAGAAUUAUCCUGCGUGAAUGUGAUGUGGAACCACAUAAUAUAGUUAAUGAUUUGAUGUACCGUGAGUGCGUGUUGUAUAAACCACAGAUUGCUGGACUUACAGAGCCAUCUGUAAUCACGACCAUUGGGUUUGUCAAAGGUGCACCAGACAUUGAUGUACAAGGGUUUAACGUAUAUCACAAAAACCGUUUAAUAAUGCCCUUCUGGAAAGUUGCAAACAACUCAUAUGGGAAAGGGCGAGGAGUUGUUGGCAUUCUGGAGGCGAACUUCAUCAAACCUACCCAUGACAAGCAGGAUUUCGAGAAGUCAGUCAUGUAUCAAAGGCUUGAGAUUCGCUUGAAAGAAAUGACUUAUGAAUACUGGGACCUUCAUUGCCAUCGUGUUGGUUAUGACAACAAAAAAUUAUCUAAAGCAACCCGUGCACUUAAUCGUGCCAGUCAUAUGAAUGCUGGCAGUUCCCCAAUAAGUGCUCCGCCUCGGUUGUUUGCAGCUGAUGUUCCAACAAGCAGCUGUGCUAUACCUAGAUUAUCAGCUUCUGCAGCAAGGGAAAGGAUCAAUAAUUUUGAGUCCCUUCCAAAGAGCAAGACGGGAUUGAAGAGAAAGUUUGAUUCCUCUGAUGCUAUGACAGACAGUGCUGAUCGAGAUGGGUUAGAUCAUACGGACAGAGUUAAUCAGGAUGUUUCCCAACGAAAACGGUUUAAUGAAUACAGGACUUUGACCCUGGAGAAUGACAAGUUGCGUAAUGAAUGCUUACAAUAUGAGGAAUCAGAGAAACAGCUUGUCCUGAAGGAACAAAAGCUCCGGUCUCAGAUUGAAGAGGCAAGAAAGAAAUAUCAGGAAUUGUCAGAAGAGCUUAGAUCAUUGGAUGUGAAGAAAGAGAAAUAGUUAACAAUUUUCUCCACUUCUCCACCUGGAUGAUUGCUCCUCUUGCUUUUUGCCUGACUUUUGAAGAUUUUGACCAGCUUCCUGUUCGAGACCUGCAGUGGUGAUUAUGGGAAGAAAUGUUCCCAUGGAUAACCGAUAUCUUCUGAUUACCAUUCACUUGGUACUUGGUGGAGAUGUACAAUUUUGUGUCACUAACCUUUGUAGGGCUCCGUGAUGAUAGAAAGCGAGCAUGCAUUAUGUUGUAGAAGUAUGUAACAUUUAUUGGGCUAUACAGCAGCGGUUUCAUGACAAUGACCUGCUGUUUCCCACAUCAGUACAUCUUGGUCUGUGUCAAAUCAAAUGAGGUACAGCGCAAUGUAACUUGUACAUGCGACUUGUCGUGGGUCAUGAGGGGUCAAGCCAAUGGUUCAUCACUCACCAUAUGUUUGUAGCUACAGUGCAAUGUAACUUGUACAUGUGAUGGACUGAUGGUGUAUCGGCUACCUGGUUUCUAUAAAUUAGGAGGGUUAUGGAUGUGUCCAUUUA